rnacentral:rRNA from 1 species
UACGUAGGGUGCAAGCGUUGUCCGGAAUUAUUGGGCGUAAAGAGCUCGUAGGCGGUUUGUUGCGUCGGCUGUGAAAUCCCGAGGCUCAACCUCGGGUCUGCAGUCGAUACGAGCAAACUAGAGUGUUGCAGGGGAGACUGGAAUUCCUGGUGUAGCGGUGAAAUGCGCAGAUAUCAGGAGGAACACCAGUGGCGAAGGCGGCACUCUGGGCCGGAACUGACGCUGAGGAGCGAAAGCGUGGGGAGCGAACAGG